CCUACGGGAGGCAGCAGUGAGGAAUAUUGGUCAAUGGACGAGAGUCUGAACCAGCCAAGUAGCGUGAAGGAUGACUGCCCUAUGGGUUGUAAACUUCUUUUAUAUGGGAAUAAAAUGUUCCACGUGUGGGAGUUUGUAUGUACCAUAUGAAUAAGGAACGGCUAACUACGUGCCAGCAGCCGCGGUAAUACGGAGGAUCCGAGCGUUAUCCGGAUUUAUUGGGUUUAAAGGGAGCGUAGGUGGAUUGUUAAGUCAGUUGUGAAAGUUUGCGGCUCAACCGUAAAAUUGCAGUUGAAACUGGCAGUCUUGAGUACAGUAGAGGUGAGCGGAAUUCGUGGUGUAGCGGUGAAAUGCUUAGAUAUCACGAAGAACUCCGAUUGCGAAGGCAGCUCACUGGACUGCAACUGACACUGAGGCUCGAAAGUGUGGGUAUCAAACAGGAUUAGAUACCCCUGUAGUC
rnacentral:rRNA from 1 species